rnacentral:rRNA from 1 species
CCUACGGGUGGCUGCAGUGAGGAAUAUUGGUCAAUGGCCGGAAGGCUGAACCAGCCAAGCCGCGUGAAGGACGAAGGUGCCAAGCAUUGUAAACUUCUUUUGUCAAGGGACAAAAUCAUGCUCGAGAGCCUGACCGAGGGUACUUGAAGAAAAAGCAUCGGCUAACUCCGUGCCAGCAGCCGCGGUAGUACGGGGGAGGCGAGCGUUAUCCGUAUUUAUUGGGUUUAAAGGGUGCGUAGGCGGGCUGUUACGUCAGCGGUAAAAGCCCGGGGCUCCACCCCGGCGAGCCGUUGAAACUGGCUGUCUUGAGAUGUCGAGAGGUAGGCGGAAUGCGCAGUGUAGCGGUGAAAUGCUUAGAUAGUGCGCAGAACUCCGAUUGCGAAGACAGCAUACCGGCGGCGAUCUGACGCUGAGGCACGAAAGCGUGGGUAUCGAACAGGAUUAGAUACCCGAGUAGUC